AACGUACCGAUAAAAAAACUUGCACGUUGUGUUUACCUGUGCACAAACUGUACUCUGCAGUUAAGUUCGGUCUGUUAUUGAUGCAGGGUGGUACACGAUUAACUCUGCUCGCGCAAGUUUAUUAAAACUUUAAUUCGACGAAUCGAAUUUUAUUAUAUAAAAGUUGAAAAUACGUAAUUUGAACCGUGCGUCUUGAUUUAAUAAGUGUCUGUGGAACGUUUGCAAAUCCGGUGCCGGAGAGAUGUGUAUUUAUAGUCACUUCGUACUCUAUUUUGGAUCAACACUAGCUUUUGAUGUGCGACAUGCAAUAUGCUGUUCUCGGGAGCGCCGUCUUAAGAACAACAGAACCGUUUUAAAGAUGGGUUGUUAAAU